CCCAGUGUCUGGCUUCUGUUGCAAGUAGGCCCAACGACACACGUUCUCCAGACUUUGAGAAGGGUUGCCAAUCUCUAUCAGACUCAUGGACUUGCCAUAGCUCAGCAGGAUUAUCCUCACCAGGACAACGUUGAUGUGAGCACCCAGGGAUUCAUCAUGGUAAAUUUCGUUAACAAUGUUCAUCAGGGUCAGCAGGUACUUCUGAACGUGUUCCUUCCCAUGGAACUGAACAAC
rnacentral:lncRNA from 1 species